CUCCUCCUUGUCAGCAGCACCCGAGGUUUCUUCACUGCUCCUGCGACUACACUUCUAGAAAGACCCCAGACCCUGCACAGAAGGUCUGCUACCCCACAGGCUUCAUUCUACACAAUGGCUGCUGUACCCAACAGGAGCACCAUAUCACCGGAUGGCAGCAGAGCUCAAAGACUCCUGUCUGAGGUGAUGAUGACUACUGCAUUGAAGAUACCCUUAAUUAACUCCAUCUGCCUGAGAUCAAGAUCAGACACAGCCUCUCCAUUUAUGCUCAGGAUUUCAUUGCCUACUCGGAGCCCUGGCAGCAUGUGAAAGCAAAGAAAGAAAAAAAAAAGGUAAUAUAAUAUAAAAAGGGUCACAACUCAAACCUUAUGCUGGCUCCCCUUUUAUCUUUUUGCUUUGAAUUCAAAUAGCCUCAUCCUACCAGAAGUCCAUUAGAACCAAUGGGAGCUUUAUUUGUGCUGUAAUUAUACAGACUGACCUCAUGCUUGCUUACUUCGAUAGGUGCUACUCACAGUACAGCAAUCAAGUUGGUUUUGUUUAAAGAUGCUACAGAAUUGGGUGAGUGGGAGAGCAGCACAGCUUUCAAGAAGAUUAGAAUAGAGGCACCUCUCACAACCAGAUACCAUCACUAUACAGCACCAUAACACAUAUUUCAUCAGCUGUGAAGAAUAAGUCAUACAGAUCAAAUUAUUCAUGUAAAGCUUCAGCAACUAAAGAUGGAGGUUUUUAUCAGCUUUUAUAUACAUCUAACCAGUAGCAAGUGCUGUCUUACUAAGUCAGCAAAACCAAUCAGAUAUUACCAUCAGGUAGCAAAUUUAGAUCUCUGUCUCCAUUUCUCUGGGGCUAUUUUUCAGAUAGCAGAACCCACGUGAUGCCCACAUGUGCUGAUAAAGAGAGGCACAGUUUCUGGGCAGCGCAGUGGAAAAGUGCUCACAGAAAUGUAUGCAGAAAACUGCUCUGGGGAGGAAGGCUUUUUGCCAGCAAAAGUGGAAGCAAUGGGUCAUAGAAACUGAUCAAGCCCAUGAAGUUCCCUAGUGCGAGAUGAACUCUUUCUACUGCCUGUUCCUCUGUGCAAAAGCACUCAGCUGGAUGGCUGCACACAGACUUUGUCUCCAAGGGUGAAUAAGAACUGUCCCCACUACACUGAAAGGAUAAUUCAGUUACUCUGUAUACACUAUUUUUCCUACUAUUACAUACUUUCCAUGGUCUUCAGGAAAGAAAACUGUGAAUAGUAAAAGCCAAGAAAUAUUUGAGACCGCAUUACUAAAGCUCUUUCAAGUUUUUGGAUGAAAAAAAGAUAAUGAAUAGUUUUAAACACAAACAGGA